rnacentral:rRNA from 1 species
AGCGAACGCUGGCGGCAGGCCUAACACAUGCAAGUCGAACGAACUCUUCGGAGUUAGUGGCGGACGGGUGAGUAACACGUGGGAACGUGCCCUUUGGUUCGGAAUAACUCAGGGAAACUUGUGCUAAUACCGAAUGUGCCCUUCGGGGGAAAGAUUUAUCGCCAUUAGAGCGGCCCGCGUCUGAUUAGCUAGUUGGUGAGGUAACGGAUCACCAAGGCGACGAUCAGUAGCUGGUCUGAGAGGAUGACCAGCCACACUGGGACUGAGACACGGCCCAGACUCCUACGGGAGGCAGCAGUGGGGAAUCUUGCGCAAUGGGCGAAAGCCUGACGCAGCCAUGCCGCGUGAAUGAUGAAGGUCUUAGGAUUGUAAAAUUCUUUCACCGGGGACGAUAAUGACGGUACCCGGAGAAGAAGCCCCGGCUAACUUCGUG